rnacentral:rRNA from 1 species
UACGGGGGGGUGCGAGCGUUGUCCGGAAUCACUGGGCGUAAAGGGCGCGUAGGUGGUUUGAUAAGGGUGUGGUGAAAGUCCGGGGCUCAACCCCGGAUCUGCCGUGCCGACUGUCAAACUCGAGGGCUGUAGAGGCAGACGGAAUUCCGGGUGUAGCGGUGGAAUGCGUAGAGAUCCGGAGGAAGACCGGUGGCGAAGGCGGCAUCCUGGACCAUAACUGACACUGAUAAGCGAAAGCCAGGGGAGCAAACGGG